rnacentral:lncRNA from 1 species
UUUUAUCUUCAAGUUUCAGUGUAAGUUAAAGGAUACAUGAUUAAAUGACAACAUCUCUAAAAUUCUUUUGAGUGAUUAUGCUGCAUCUAACUGCAGAGAUACGUAGAAUUCGGCAUCUCCGACUUUUACUUGUAUGACAUCUGCAUAAUAAGCUUUCAUCACGCACCCCUUGGUUACAUAUGGGUGAAACCUAUAUUUACCCCGAUUAGUACUCGGUGGCCUGAGAUGACAUCUGAAACUUUGGGCUAGUUUCAGUGUCAAAAACCUGUGCUGCGUUAAUCUUAUUUCCAUACAAUGUGCUGAAAGCAGCUAAUGGAACGCAUGAAUUCUAACUGUUGGUUGCAUUCAGCCUUCAACGUCUAAGGUCCCAUCAAUUACCAACUAGACAUUAGUAUUCAAAUGACGACGACAAAGGUACUCUUUUUCACUUCGUCUCAACAACACCACUUGCAUUUCAAAUGUUCAAGAGAUCUCAAUGAAGACUUGGAAAGGAAUAUCGGUUUUUAGUUGUGUUCAUACAUUAAGCUGAGUUGAAUGAGCUCUACGAAAACUGCUUUCCUCAUUUCGUUAGGGAAUGUACAACUUCAGAAGUAUCUGUAAUGAAGGCUAUUUGUCGGCUGGCGGUUGAAACGCUGUCUGAUGGCGCUUGAAAAAUUCACGAAAUCCAUAUGCGCUCAUGUCGUAAUUGUACUGUUAACAUCAAACCGCAAGAACCUACGUGUCACUGACCAAAAACGCUAACGAUUUGCACAGAUCAACAUACUUGCUCAUGGACUAUACUUGGAAAGGCUACUCGCAACACUCAUUACCUCUGUAAUCUUUAAAAUCCACAAGCGAACAGAGCUUGCAUUUAAGUUGAAGAGAAUGGAAACUAAACACCAUAGCAUCGGAGAAUUGAUAUGUUGAGAAGGACUAACCGGAGUAACAUUGUCACUGUAACGCAUUACAGGCUGAUCAAAUAAUUCAUAGUUUAAUAAUGAUAAAUAUGCUUAUUGAGCUCUUGACAAGGCAAUAAUCUAUUAUGCCAAUUAGAGAAGAAAUACUUACUCAAAGUGUGUUGGCAUCAGAAGGUGAAUGACUAAGAGAUGAACUUUUAGCUAUUAUAAUUAAACAACUUGAGAAAAAAUUGAAAGAUAUAUAAAUAUCAUUAGAAACUUUAAGAAGAACAAGAUUACAAACUAAGACAUAAUUUGAUAAACAACAUCAAUUGAAAUCUAAAGCAAUUGAAGAAGGUGAUUGAAUUUUGGACUAUGAUAGUAGUUUGAACCAUUAAUAUAAUACUUUAAAGUUUUUUAUACAAUGGUUUGGACCAUAGGUAAUAACAAUUUUUUUAUGAUAAUGUGACUUAUUGAUUACAAGAUCUAAAUGGAAAAAAAUUAAAAAUAUUAGUUGUAAGAAAAUAUGUGAAGAUAUUGAAACAAAGAUAGAUAGAAAGAAAUAUAGAAGACCUCGUUGAAGACUUAAAUCUUUGAAGAUAAGAAGAUGAGUUUGACUUGGAUAGCAAAAAUGAUAAAAAAAAAAGAAAAAGAAAAAAAAAAUGAUGAAGAUAUGGAGAACAUAAUAUGAAUCAAAUAAGAUUUGAAUUAUUUGAUAUAUAUCAAAGGAUGCACAAUUUUAAAGGAUGUGGAUAUUGAGUGAUAACAUGAAUAUAUGGUGAAAAAUAAAAAUAUAGAUGUUAUUAUAGAAGAGCCUAGUAGAAAUAUAUAAUAAAAUAAUAAGAAUAAAUUAUAGAAAGGUAAUAAAAAAAUUUAGUCUUAAUUUUUUUUAUAGAAGGAACUUCUAUUUAUUUUAUAGAAGCAUAAAUAAACCAAAUCAAAGUAAAUAUGAUAAGAAAUUGAUAUACGCAUAUUUAAAAGAAAAUUAACAAUAGAUUAAAGUAAAACUUACCUCAAAUUACCAAAAAUUGAUAUUCAAAGAGGAUUGGUUGUGAACUUGGAUUGAAAUCACACCUUGAGAUACAAAACUAUGCACCUAUAGUGACUUUGGGAUUUUUAAACAAAUCAAAGAAAGUAUGGUUUUAAAAAAAACUUCAUAGGAUUUUUUUGAACAUUGGUUUUGGGUAAUUUGAAUAUCUAAUAACUUUAUAAGAGCAUUGCAAAGUCAAGGUUAUUUUUGAUGAAUAUUAUUUUGAAAAAAAAAAAUAUAUAUAUAUAUAUAUAUAUAUAUUCAAAAAAAAUUUGUAGAUUUGGUAGUAGAUCUAUAAAUAAAAAUUUGUAGAUUUAUAAUUAUAGUUAUUUUUAUUAUGAUUAGUAAAUUUGAACAUGAUCAAAUGAUUAGAUUGAAGGUUAUUGAAGUUUAAGUAGGUUGGAGUUUCAAAAAUAGAGUUUGAAGGUCAAUGGUGGUUUCUAAGAUAUUUAAUAGUUUGUCAAUUGGAUUGAGAUGAAAUUUGUGUAUCUAGAUAGCAGAAUUGAUUUUCAACAUAUAUAUAAAAUUUUAAAGGUAUUUAAUAGUAGAAUUAAGAGAUUUUGACUUAAAAAGAUUUAUAUUAAGAUUGGAAAAUGAGGCUAAUGAAUACCUGAGCAGAUUUUAGGAUUUAACUUUUAUUUGAUAAGUUUGAUUUUCUUAACAAUAUUUGCACUUAUUUUUGGCUUAAUUUUUAAAAGGCGUACUAAUUUUUAAUUAAAAUCAAUAGUUUAAUUAUUAAUUAUAGAAGUUUCAAUCUGCCAUAGGAUUCAUUAAGAAUUUAUUUAAGAUUUAGAAUUUGAUUGAGGUUUGUUUAGGAUUUUUCUAAGAUUUGAUUAAAAAUUCUAAGAUUUGAUUAGAGUUUUUUUAGGAUUUGAUUAGGAUUUUUAUAGUAUUUUAUUAGAAUUUUUUAUGAUUUAUCUAGGAUUUGAUUAGGAUUUGUCUAGAAUUUUUCUAGGAUUUAAUUAGAAUUUAUUUAAAAUUUGAUUAGAAUUUGUUUAUAAUGUGAUUAAAAUUUGAUUAGGAUUUUUUUAAAGAUUUUAUUAAAAAUUAUCUAAGAUUUAAUUAAGAUUUGAUUAAGAUUUGUCUAGGAUUUGUUUAUGAUUUAAUUAGGAUUUAUUUUAGAUUUAUUUUAUUUCUUUUAUAAUUUAUUUAAAAAUUUAAUUAGACUUGAUCAAUAUUUGAUUAUAUUUGUUAAACUUUAAUUAUAAUUUAUAUAAGAUUCUAUUAGAUUUUUUAAUAUUUGUUAUUGUAAUUUUCUUUUACCUUCCACAACUACAUACCCAGUGUAUUUUAAGCAAGACUUCACAUAACAUGAAAAUGCCAAGAAGUUGUAUAAUUGAGAGAAGCAAAUAAAUCAAGUUUACAACUAAAUUUGAAGAAUCUUGCUACUACAAGCAUGAAAGAAGCAAGGAUAAGUAUACCAGAGAAAUUUGAUAGAAUAAGAUAAAAGUUUUGAAGGUUUCUACAAUAAGUGAAGCUUUAUCUAAAAUUAUAUCAUUUUCAAUACCUCAAUGAAUUUACUUAAGUUGAAUUUAUAUGCAUAUUUCUAUGUAAGAUUUUUUUUUUGAUUUAAACCUUUCAUAGAAAUGGAUUCUUUAUUCUAUGAUUUAAAUUUAUUUUUAGGAGUUUUUAUUACCAUAUUUAGAAAAAAUCAUUAAAAAAAGAUAGCACAGACCAAACUCAUAUCUUUACAAUAAAAACCACAUUUAGCCACCAGAUAUGCUGCUAAAUUUCAAAACCUUGCUUGAGAUAUGGAUUGAAAUAAUAAAGCCUUUAUUAAUUAAUUUUACUAUGAAUUAAAAGAUAAUAUCAAAGAUUUAUUGUUGAUAAUGUCAAAAGCAAGUUCAUUAAAGUAAUUUAUUAUUGAAGCCAUUAUAUGUAAUAUUUUAUUCUUUGAAAGAAACUAAGAACAAAGAUUUGGUUGAAGAGAUACAAGUCAAAUCAUGGCUAUAGCUUUUAGGUUUUCAAAAUUUUAUUCAUCAAGACUAGAAUCUAUGCCAAUUGACAUAAUAUGUUUUAGACUUCUUACUAAGUAAAAAAAGACUUGACGUCAUGAAAAAAGAUUAUACUUAUAUUAUAAAGAACCUAAACACAAUACUUAAUAUUUUUUGAAGAAGCAACACAACCACAAAAUGAAGAGCAUGGUUGCUAAAGAAGAUGAUGUGUUAGAAAACUAGUUUCUCCAAUUACAAUAAGAAUUGUGCAACUUAAAUCUUGUGCAAUACUUAAUAAAGAUCUUAUUUUGUCUUUAAAUCAUUCACCUUAUUUUAUAGUAGAAAUUUUUUUAGGACCAAAAAAUCACAAAGUUUUAGCUUUGUUAGAUUCAAGAGCCUUAACUACAUUUAUACACAAAGACUUUGUUAAAAAAACAAGAAAUACCAUUAAUUAAAAAAAUCAAAUUUAUGCACCUAAAAGUAAUAGAUGGUCAUUUUUUGUCUUCCAAAGAUGUCACCUAUAAAAUUAUUCUUUUAGAAGUAGCAACUAAUAGUCAUAAUAGCUUAGUAAUAUUUAAUAUAAUUGAAUCUCCUUCUAAUUUAGUUAUUUUAGGAUAUUUAUGGCUAAAAAAGUAUAAUCCUUAAAUAGAUUAAAUUUCUUAUAAUCUUGAUUUUUUCCAUAGUUUAGCUCAAGAUUUUGCUAGUCAAAUAAAAAUCUAUAAGCUCAAUACGUUCAAAUUCUUAUUAAUAGGUGCAAUAGCUUUUAUGCAUAUUACAAAAGCAAAUGUCAAUUUUUUUUCUAUAUAUGCCACAUCUAUUUUUGAUGGAAAAAAAAAUUCAAGUGACAUUUCAAGCCAAUACUAAGAUUAUCAAGAAGUUUCUAAAAAAAACAUGGAUAUCCUUUCAAAACAUUGUUUAUAUGAUUUUUUUAUUGAUCUUUAAGAAAGAGCUCAACCUUUAUUUGAACCAAUCUAUAGCCUAUCAUAAAAUGAGUUGAUUGCACUUAAGAAGUAUAUUGACAAAAACAUAGUAAGAAUUUUAUACACCACUCUAAAUCAUAAGUAGGGAUUCCUAUCUUAUUUGUGAAGAAAAAAGAUGGAUCCUUGUAGAUGUGUAUAGACUAUCAAAGACUCAACAAGAUCACCAUCAAGAAUAGGUAUCUCCUACCUUUGGUUUCAAGACUUCUUGACCUAGUCAAUUAAACAAAGAUCUAUACCAAAAUAGACCUACGAGGAGCAUAUAAUUUGGUGUGCAUUAAAAAAGAAGAUGAAUAAAAAACUGUAUUUCAAAUGAGGUAUAGAUAUUUUAAAUAUAACAUCAUAUCUUUUAGAUUUACAAAUACAUCAACUGCUUUUUAAUAUCUAAUGAAUGAAAAAUGUGCAAUGUUUAAUUUCAAAAAACAUUGCACAAUGAAUGUGAUAAAAAUGUGCAAUUUUUUUUGAGAUUUACCAAUUAUUAUUGGACUUUUGUUAAAAACUUUUUUUAAGAUGCAAUUCUUCUUAUAUGUCUAACAUAUACUUCUUUUGCAUCCAAUUUAUUUCUAUUUAGAGUGAUUUUAUUCUAAAUUCAAAUUAUGUCUUUUAAAAAAAAUCAAAAUAUAUCUUUAAUAUAUUUUUAUUUUCUAUGCUUAUCUUUCAAUUAUAUUUAAUAAAUCUUCUUGUCCAAGUAACAAAUACUUUAUUUGCCUAAGUUCUAUAGGCAUUGCUACAAAAUUCACCACUAAAAAUUAAUAAAUUAUCUCACUUGAGUAUUUAGUAUAAAAAAAAUGCACUCAUUGUACUUAAAAUCAUAGUUUUUGUAAAUUAGUAGUGUAAUUGUUAGGAAAAAAUAAGAAAUGGAUUGCUUAAUAGCAAAUAUGCAACCAAGGACGGAAUUUAAUUAAAAAAAAUCUCCAAAGAAGAUGUUUUUAGUUAGCUAAUAUUAAAUGAAGGCCCAAAGGAAGUAGUCUUAGUAUUAAAAAUAUACAUAUAUAUAUAUAUAUAUAUAUAUACUAAUAGUUCUUAAAACAUAUAUAUAUAUAUAUAUAUAUAUAUACAUACAUAUAUAUUAUAAAUAAUAAUGAUAAUAAAAAAUAUAUAUAUCAAAAAAAUUAGAAAAAAGAAUAGAGAAGUAAAGAAGGAAGAAAGAAAAGAAAAAAAAAAUACAGAAGAAAAGAAAAAGAACAAAAGAGAAAAAUAAAAAUAAAAUGAAAAUAAAAGAUGAUUAAAAAGGCAAGAUGCUACCCUUGAAUAGCAGCAGCUUCCUCGUGGAUAUGGAACCGGGCCGCCCCAAAUCCUUCUUCUUCCUUUUCAUUUCUUUUGUUUUUUGGUGUUGGAAUCUGAGCUCCAAUUGCUCCGGAUUUCCUUCUUGAGCAUGUUCCAAAUGUGUUUAUUUUCUGUACGUGUGUGUGUGGCGGUACUUCUUCUUCAUUAUUACGUCAAAAUGUAGUAAAACAAAAUAAAAUAAAUAAAAUAAAAAUAUGAAACUUUGUUGUGAUCAGAGCACAACAUGGAGGUUUAGCUUCGAUGCUCUGUGUCCUUUUAUGGAAGUACUGCAGUGCAGUAUUUUCCCCUUUUAAGAAAAUCAAUUGAAUUAUAAAUAUAUAAUGUAAAAUAAAAUCAAUUGAAUUAUAAAAAAUGAUUUAUUAAAACUUCUAAGUAUUCAAUGUGUAACAAGAAAAAUCAUUGCUUUUAAGUGGUUAAUAAAAUUAGAUAUGGUUUUGAGGGAACUUUACUUCAGAAAAAGACACGUCUAACUCUAAUUUAAAUUACUAAGUAGAAUGGAAUUUGACAUCUUUCAUUCCAUUUAAAGAAGACGAGUUUAUUGAAAUAAAAUAAUACAACUAAAAAAUAUAAUCAGCACUCAUUUGGCUUAUAUGGCACAAAGACAUUGUUGGUAAUACUUAAAAAAUAUAGAACUUAGAUAUGACAUAAGUAACAAUUGUAAAAUUUGCACCUUACAUAUAAAAGAGAGCAUUUUUUAUAGAUGUUAAAGAUGAUUUUAGAUUUUAAAUUUUAUAAAUAAAUGUAUAUAUAAAUAUAUAUAUUAUUAUUAUUAUUUAUAUAAAUAUAAAUAUAAUAUUAUUAUUAUUAUUAUUAUUAUUUGUAUGAGAAUCAUAAUCUUUUUUUCAAGUUGUAGAUUUCUUAAAUAAACUUAGACACUUUACACCUAUUUUAUAUUUUGACUAAUCUAAGCUCUUUAAGAUAUUUAUUAUUUUUUUAAAUAUAUAUAUAUAUAUAUAUAUAUAUGAAAAAAGAAUCUCUUAUUUGCUAAUUAUACUAUCUUUGUAGAAAUGAAAAGUACUAAAGCUUAUUAAUAAAAUUAAAAAACAUUCUUUACCAAUCACAAACAACCACCAAUUACUAUAAAUAAAAAUUUAGUCAAAUUUUCAUUUAAACUAGCAAUCACUGCACCAACAAUCAAUGGCUUAUACUUCUUUGAUGCCCAUUUUGUAUCAAAAAGUCAACUUUGGUGGUUAUUGGAAGCCAAACAUGCUUAUAAGACUAUGCACUAGCCAACUUUUCUGUUAAUGUCUUAUUCUUUUGUAAGAUACAUUAUCAUCUUCAAUUCCACAAGUUCUUUUUUGUGUGAAUUAUCUCACUUCUAUUAUUAUGUAAGAUAUAUUAUAAAGAAUCUUUGAAUUCUAUCUUUAAACACUAUUCUUGUAUUAUAUCCUUUCUCUUCUUCAACAAAAUAUAUAAAAAAGAGAAUUAAUAGAUGAAAUAUUCUUAGUAAAUUAGAAAAAAAAAAAGAAAAAAAAAGAGAGGAUAUAAUACCACUAUAUAAUCUACCCAAAGAUUCUACCCAAAGAUUCAGCUUGUUAAAAGGGAAGAUAAAAAUACAAUUUAUUGAAAAUACUAAUAAAUGCACACUAAGUGUAAAAAAUUGCUUCUAAUCUUAUUCUAACUUCAAAAGUAGUAACCAAUACAACAAAUUAUUCAAAAGAAAAAAAUAAAAAUAAAAAUGAUCCGGAUGAAUUGUGGUUAGCAGGCAGGACAAUGUUUUCUGAAUCAUCCACGAUCUGAAAAUCACCAUGACAUUCCGGAGAGACGCCCUUCCAAACAUUGGCCCUCGUAGACCUAAAUUGACGCCUCAUAUUCGAAGACAUUUAGCAACAAGCGUAGCUGAAGAAGAUCUACAUGAUUAGCUAAGGAUUGCCGGAAUUAGGCAUUGAUACACGUUGGAAUUCUCAUGGGCGACGAUGUAAUGUCAUUCAGAGUUUCAGAAAGAGGAUUGAGAAUCUCUGUCCUUCCCUAAAGCAUCAAUUCAAUCGGGGAAAGAUGGAAGAACCUGUUGGUGUCAAGAUCGAUACUCUGCUUGAUCAUCUCAAAGAGUUUUCCAGGUGUUUGGGGUUUCUGGGUUUCUUCAGAAUUUGCUUGCUCUGUGUCUGAAGUAGGAGUUUGGGGUUUUAGGGUUUUUGGUUUUUUAACUCGCGAAUUUGAUAUGGGUUCAUACGAAUGAUUUUGGAAGUAGUGGAGGUUGUUGGUGACCUGUGGUGCUUACUUGAUUUCUGUUUCGAAUGGCAGGUAUUAUACAGGGUAUCCGCGCGAGGAACGGGUUUCACGAGUUCUGGAGUUCAAAUCAGAGCGUCAGUUUGUUGAGCUUCUGCACCAGGGCGAGCCAGUGGCUGUUGCCUUUACACUCAAGUACUUUGAAAUCUGUCACGGGCUCUCGGUGCUGCAUUUUCUCUUGAUUGUCUUAUUAUUUUGUGGGCUUUGGAAUAAUCGGUUGCUUCUGUUACGUUGAGCAUAUGCAUUUCGUUUUGAACGUCUGUCCUUGAAACCAAACCUCUACUGUAUUCUUUGCCAAACUUUCAAAACUUUGGACCCCUUAUUUUUUCAGCCAUACCGUUUUAUAUACAAUAAAGAGAUCGUUACCUAUGAAUUUUGUAUUCAAUGAUCAGAGUGCACGUGUGUGUAUGCGUUUAGAUGUCCGUGGACACGGAGAUUUGAUCGUGUCCUGGAGGAUGCAGCUGCUGAAUGGUACCCACAUAUCAAG